CGGUAAUACGUAGGUGGCAAGCGUUAUCCGGAAUUAUUGGGCGUAAGGCGCGCGUAGCGGUUUUUUAAGUCUGAUGUGAAAGCCCACGGCUCAACCGUGGAGGGUCAUUGGAAACUGGAAAACUUGAGUGCAGAAGAGGAAAGUGGAAUUCCAUGUGUAGCGGUGAAAUGCGCAGAGAUAUGGAGGAACACCAGUGGCGAAGGCGACUUUCUGGUCUGUAACUGACGCUGAUGUGCGAAAGCGUGGGGAUCAAACAGGAUUAGAUACC
rnacentral:rRNA from 1 species